rnacentral:rRNA from 1 species
UUUCACUGAAACAAGGGAAAACAUUAGCAGCAGUAAGGAAUUUUAUGUAAUAUACGAAAGUAAGACAUAGUUAGGACAUUUUUAUCUGUCAAAUUAAGUGCCAGCAGACGCGGUGAAACUUAAGGAUUUGUUUUUUAGAAAAAGCAGAAAGCGUGUAAAGGUAAAAAAUAUUUAAAAUAAAUAGAAUUUUUUUAGUAAUAGUGAAAUGUUAUUAUAAGGAAAAGAAUUCUUUAUGUGAAAAUAAUUUAUUUUUUUUUUUCUUAAGCACGAGGGUUUUGGGAGUAAACAGGAUUAGAGACCCUGGUAAUCAAUACAGUAAAAAAAAAUCGCUUGAGUAGUACGGUCGCAAGAUUAAAAUUCAAAAAAUUUGGCUGUUCAUUGUUAUUUAGAGGAGCGUGUCGUUUAAUUCGAUAAUUCGCGAAUUACCUUACCAAGACUUGGUUUUCCGGUGUUGCAUGGCCGUCGUCAAUUUGUGUUUGAUACAAUAAAUUAAAUCCUAGAAAGGUUGAAGUCAGGUAUUAUUGCCCUUAUGUUUUGGGAUUAGAUGCGCUACAUUUUUUUAAUAAAAAAAAAAGAGUUCGGAUUGUUUUUAAAAUAGAGCAAUUAAGUUGAAUUUAAUAGUAAUUGAAAAGUAGAGCGUUUCAAUGAAUUUAAAACAAUGUUAGUACAAAUUGCCCGUCGCCUUUGCUGAGGUAAACAAAGCAGAGUAAGUCGUAACA